UGGUUCUCCCCGAAAGCUAUUUAGGUAGCGCCUCGUGAAUUCAUCUUCGGGGGUAGAGCACUGUUUCGGCUAGGGGGUCAUCCCGACUUACCAACCCGAUGCAAACUACGAAUACCGAAGAAUGUUAUCACGGGAGACACACGGCGGGUGCUAACGUCCGUCGUGAAGAGGGAAACAACCCAGACCGCCAGCUAAGGUCCCAAAGUCAUGGUUAAGUGGGAAACGAUGUGGGAAGGCACAGACAGCCAGGAUGUUGGCUUAGAAGCAGCCAUCAUUUAAAGAAAGCGUAAUAGCUCACUGGUCGAGUCGGCCUGCGCGGAAGAUGUAACGGGGCUAAACCAUGCACCGAAGCUGCGGCAGCGACACUAUGUGUUGUUGGGUAGGGGAGCGUUCUGUAAGCCUGCGAAGGUGACCUGUGAGGGUUGCUGGAGGUAUCAGAAGUGCGAAUGCUGACAUAAGUAACGAUAAAGCGGGUGAAAAGCCCGCUCGCCGGAAGACCAAGGGUUCCUGUCCAACGUUAAUCGGGGCAGGGUGAGUCGACCCCUAAGGCGAGGCCGAAAGGCGUAGUCGAUGGGAAACAGGUUAAUAUUCCUGUACUUGGUGUUACUGCGAAGGGGGGACGGAGAAGGCUAUGUUAGCCGGGCGACGGUUGUCCCGGUUUAAGCAUGUAGGCUGGUUAUCCAGGCAAAUCCGGAUAAUCAAGGCUGAGGUGUGAUGACGAGGCACUACGGUGCUGAAGUAACAAAUGCCCUGCUUCCAGGAAAAGCCUCUAAGCAUCAGGUAACAUCAAAUCGUACCCCAAACCGACACAGGUGGUCAGGUAGAGAAUACCAAGGCGCUUGAGAGAACUCGGGUGAAGGAACUAGGCAAAAUGGUGCCGUAACUUCGGGAGAAGGCACGCUGGUGUGUAGGUGAAGUCCCUGCGGAUGGAGCUGAGACCAGUCGAAGAUACCAGCUGGCUGCAACUGUUUAUUAAAAACACAGCACUGUGCAAACACGAAAGUGGACGUAUACGGUGUGACGCCUGCCCGGUGCCGGAAGGUUAAUUGAUGGGGUUAUCCGUAAGGAGAAGCUCUUGAUCGAAGCCCCGGUAAACGGCGGCCGUAACUAUAACGGUCCUAAGGUAGCGAAAUUCCUUGUCGGGUAAGUUCCGACCUGCACGAAUGGCGUAAUGAUGGCCAGGCUGUCUCCACCCGAGACUCAGUGAAAUUGAACUCGCUGUGAAGAUGCAGUGUACCCGCGGCAAGACGGAAAGACCCCGUGAACCUUUACUAUAGCUUGACACUGAACAUUGAGCCUUGAUGUGUAGGAUAGGUGGGAGGCUUUGAAGCGUGGACGCCAGUCUGCGUGGAGCCAACCUUGAAAUACCACCCUUUAAUGUUUGAUGUUCUAACGUUGGCCCCUGACCGGGGUUGCGGACAGUGUCUGGUGGGUAGUUUGACUGGGGCGGUCUCCUCCCAAAGCGUAACGGAGGAGCACGAAGGUUAGCUAAUCCUGGUCGGACAUCAGGAGGUUAGUGCAAUGGCAUAAGCUAGCUUGACUGCGAGCGUGACGGCGCGAGCAGGUGCGAAAGCAGGUCAUAGUGAUCCGGUGGUUCUGAAUGGAAGGGCCAUCGCUCAACGGAUAAAAGGUACUCCGGGGAUAACAGGCUGAUACCGCCCAAGAGUUCAUAUCGACGGCGGUGUUUGGCACCUCGAUGUCGGCUCAUCACAUCCUGGGGCUGAAGUAGGUCCCAAGGGUAUGGCUGUUCGCCAUUUAAAGUGGUACGCGAGCUGGGUUUAGAACGUCGUGAGACAGUUCGGUCCCUAUCUGCCGUGGGCGCUGGAGAAUUGAGGGGGGCUGCUCCUAGUACGAGAGGACCGGAGUGGACGCAUCACUGGUGUUCGGGUUGUCAUGCCAAUGGCACUGCCCGGUAGCUAAAUGCGGAAGAGAUAAGUGCUGAAAGCAUCUAAGCACGAAACUUGCCCCGAGAUGAGUUCUCCCUGAGACUUUAAGUCUCCUGAAGGAACGUUAAAGACGAUGACGUUGAUAGGCCGGGUGUGUAAGCGCAGCGAUGCGUUGAGCUAACCGGUACUAAUGAACCGUGAGGCUUAACCUU
rnacentral:rRNA from 1 species